AGCCCAGCUUGCUGGGUGGAUUAGUGGCGAACGGGUGAGUAACACGUGAGUAACCUGCCCCUGACUCUGGGAUAAGCCCGGGAAACUGGGUCUAAUACCGGAUAUGACUUUUGACCGCAUGGUUGAGGGUGGAAAGAUUUAUCGGUUGGGGAUGGACUCGCGGCCUAUCAGCUUGUUGGUGAGGUAAUGGCUCACCAAGGCGACGACGGGUAGCCGGCCUGAGAGGGUGACCGGCCACACUGGGACUGAGACACGGCCCAGACUCCUACGGGAGGCAGCAGUGGGGAAUAUUGCACAAUGGGCGCAAGCCUGAUGCAGCGACGCCGCGUGAGGGAUGACGGCCUUCGGGUUGUAAACCUCUUUCAGUAGGGAAGAAGCG
rnacentral:rRNA from 1 species